ACACUAUCAUUAACUGAAUCCAUAGGUUAAUGAGGCGAACCGGGGGAACUGAAACAUCUAAGUACCCCGAGGAAAAGAAAUCAACCGAGAUUCCCCCAGUAGCGGCGAGCGAACGGGGAGGAGCCCAGAGCCUGAAUCAGUGUGUGUGUUAGUGGAAGCGUCUGGAAAGGCGCGCGAUACAGGGUGACAGCCCCGUACACAAAAAUGCACAUAUUGUGAGCUCGAUGAGUAGGGCGGGACACGUGGUAUCCUGUCUGAAUAUGGGGGGACCAUCCUCCAAGGCUAAAUACUCCUGACUGACCGAUAGUGAACCAGUACCGUGAGGGAAAGGCGAAAAGAACCCCGGCGAGGGGAGUGAAAAAGAACCUGAAACCGUGUACGUACAAGCAGUGGGAGCCUCUUUAUGGGGUGACUGCGUACCUUUUGUAUAAUGGGUCAGCGACUUAUAUUCUGUAGCAAGGUUAACCGAAUAGGGGAGCCGAAGGGAAACCGAGUCUUAACUGGGCGUUAAGUUGCAGGGUAUAGACCCGAAACCCGGUGAUCUAGCCAUGGGCAGGUUGAAGGUUGGGUAACACUAACUGGAGGACCGAACCGACUAAUGUUGAAAAAUUAGCGGAUGACUUGUGGCUGGGGGUGAAAGGCCAAUCAAACCGGGAGAUAGCUGGUUCUCCCCGAAAGCUAUUUAGGUAGCGCCUCGUGAAUUCAUCUCCGGGGGUAGAGCACUGUUUCGGCAAGGGGGUCAUCCCGACUUACCAACCCGAUGCAAACUGCGAAUACCGGAGAAUGUUAUCACGGGAGACACACGGCGGGUGCUAACGUCCGUCGUGAAGAGGGAAACAACCCAGACCGCCAGCUAAGGUCCCAAAGUCAUGGUUAAGUGGGAAACGAUGUGGGAAGGCCCAGACAGCCAGGAUGUUGGCUUAGAAGCAGCCAUCAUUUAAAGAAAGCGUAAUAGCUCACUGGUCGAGUCGGCCUGCGCGGAAGAUGUAACGGGGCUAAACCAUGCACCGAAGCUGCGGCAGCGACACUAUGUGUUGUUGGGUAGGGGAGCGUUCUGUAAGCCUGUGAAGGUGGCCUGUGAGGGUUGCUGGAGGUAUCAGAAGUGCGAAUGCUGACAUAAGUAACGAUAAAGCGGGUGAAAAGCCCGCUCGCCGGAAGACCAAGGGUUCCUGUCCAACGUUAAUCGGGGCAGGGUGAGUCGACCCCUAAGGCGAGGCCGAAAGGCGUAGUCGAUGGGAAACAGGUUAAUAUUCCUGUACUUGGUGUUACUGCGAAGGGGGGACGGAGAAGGCUAUGUUGGCCGGGCGACGGUUGUCCCGGUUUAAGCGUGUAGGCUGGUUUUCCAGGCAAAUCCGGAAAACCAAGGCUGAGGCGUGAUGACGAGGCACUACGGUGCUGAAGCGACAAAUGCCCUGCUUCCAGGAAAAGCCUCUAAGCAUCAGGUAACAUCAAAUCGUACCCCAAACCGACACAGGUGGUCAGGUAGAGAAUACCAAGGCGCUUGAGAGAACUCGGGUGAAGGAACUAGGCAAAAUGGUGCCGUAACUUCGGGAGAAGGCACGCUGAUAUGUAGGUGAAGCGACUUGCUCGUGGAGCUGAAAUCAGUCGAAGAUACCAGCUGGCUGCAACUGUUUAUUAAAAACACAGCACUGUGCAAACACGAAAGUGGACGUAUACGGUGUGACGCCUGCCCGGUGCCGGAAGGUUAAUUGAUGGGGUUAGCGGUAACGCGAAGCUCUUGAUCGAAGCCCCGGUAAACGGCGGCCGUAACUAUAACGGUCCUAAGGUAGCGAAAUUCCUUGUCGGGUAAGUUCCGACCUGCACGAAUGGCGUAAUGAUGGCCAGGCUGUCUCCACCCGAGACUCAGUGAAAUUGAACUCGCUGUGAAGAUGCAGUGUACCCGCGGCAAGACGGAAAGACCCCGUGAACCUUUACUAUAGCUUGACACUGAACAUUGAGCCUUGAUGUGUAGGAUAGGUGGGAGGCUUUGAAGUGUGGACGCCAGUCUGCAUGGAGCCGACCUUGAAAUACCACCCUUUAAUGUUUGAUGUUCUAACGUUGGCCCGUAAUCCGGGUUGCGGACAGUGUCUGGUGGGUAGUUUGACUGGGGCGGUCUCCUCCUAAAGAGUAACGGAGGAGCACGAAGGUUGGCUAAUCCUGGUCGGACAUCAGGAGGUUAGUGCAAUGGCAUAAGCCAGCUUGACUGCGAGCGUGACGGCGCGAGCAGGUGCGAAAGCAGGUCAUAGUGAUCCGGUGGUUCUGAAUGGAAGGGCCAUCGCUCAACGGAUAAAAGGUACUCCGGGGAUAACAGGCUGAUACCGCCCAAGAGUUCAUAUCGACGGCGGUGUUUGGCACCUCGAUGUCGGCUCAUCACAUCCUGGGGCUGAAGUAGGUCCCAAGGGUAUGGCUGUUCGCCAUUUAAAGUGGUACGCGAGCUGGGUUUAGAACGUCGUGAGACAGUUCGGUCCCUAUCUGCCGUGGGCGCUGGAGAACUGAGGGGGGCUGCUCCUAGUACGAGAGGACCGGAGUGGACGCAUCACUGGUGUUCGGGUUGUCAUGCCAAUGGCACUGCCCGGUAGCUAAAUGCGGAAGAGAUAAGUGCUGAAAGCAUCUAAGCACGAAACUUGCCCCGAGAUGAGUUCUCCCUGA
rnacentral:rRNA from 2 species